rnacentral:rRNA from 1 species
UACAGGGGGUGCAAACGUUGCUCGGAAUCACUGGGCGUAAAGGGCGCGUAGGUGGCGCGGGCAGCCAACGGUGAAAGUUCGGGGCUCAACCCUGAAUCGGCCGUCGAUACUCCCGUGCUUGAGCACUGUAGAGGCAGAUGGAAUUCCGGGUGUAGCGGUGGAAUGCGUAGAGAUCCGGAAGAACACCGGUGGCGAAGGCGGUCUGCUGGGCAGUAGCUGACACUGAGGCGCGACAGCGUGGGGAGCAAACAGG